AGCGAACGCUGGCGGCAGGCUUAACACAUGCAAGUCGAGCGGGCAUCCUUGUGGUGUCAGCGGCAGACGGGUGAGUAACGCGUGGGAACGUGCCCUUCGGUUCGGAAUAACUCAGGGAAACUUGAGCUAAUACCGGAUACGUGCGAGAGCAGAAAGGUUUAUCUGCCGAAGGAUCGGCCCGCGUCUGAUUAGCUAGUUGGUGAGGUUAUGGCUCACCAAGGCGACGAUCAGUAGCUCGUCUGAGAGGAUGAUCAGCCACACUGGGACUGAGACACGGCCCAGACUCCUACGGGAGGCAGCAGUGGGGAAUAUUGGACAAUGGGGGCAACCCUGAUCCAGCCAUGCCGCGUGAGUGAUGACGGCCUUAGGGUUGUAAAGCUCUUUUCUUCGGGACGAUAAUGACGGUACCGGAGGAAUAAGCCCCGGCUAACUUCGUG
rnacentral:rRNA from 1 species